GGCCUGGUAGCUCAACUGGUGGAGUACCGUAUUGGUAAUUUGCAGAGGUCAUGGCUCAAGUUCGGUUCAGGCCA
rnacentral:tRNA from 1 species